GGCCCCUUGGUCAAGCGGUUAAGACACCGCCCUUUCACGGCGGUAACACGGGUUCGAAUCCCGUAGGGGUCAC
rnacentral:tRNA from 8 species